AGGCUGCAACUCGCCUACACGAAGUUGGAAUUGCUAGUAAUCGUGGAUCAGCAUGCCACCGGUGAAUACGUUCCCGGGUCUUGUACACACCGCCCGUCACACCAUGGGAGCUGGUAACACCCGAAGUCAGUAGUCUAACCGCAAGGAGGACGCUGCCGAAGGUGGGAUUAGCGACUGGGGUGAAGUCGUAACAAGGUAAC
rnacentral:rRNA from 1 species